GACGAACGCUGGCGGCGGGCUUAACACAUGCAAGUCGAACGGAAAGGCCCUGGUUUUGUUGGUUGCUCGAGUGGCGAACGGGUGAGUAACACGUGAGUAACCUGCCCUUGACUUUGGGAUAACUUCAGGAAACUGGGGCUAAUACCGGAUAGGAGCUCCUGCUGCAUGGUGGGCGUUGGAAAGUUUCGGCGGUUGGGGAUGGACUCGCGGCUUAUCAGCUUGUUGGUGGGGUAGUGGCUUACCAAGGCUUUGACGGGUAGCCGGCCUGAGAGGGUGACCGGCCACAUUGGGACUGAGAUACGGCCCAGACUCCUACGGGAGGCAGCAGUGGGGAAUAUUGCACAAUGGGCGGAAGCCUGAUGCAGCAACGCCGCGUGCGGGAUGACGGCCUUCGGGUUGUAAACCGCUUUCGCCUGUGACGAAGCGUGAGUGACGGUAAUGGGUAAAGAAGCACCGGCUAACUACGUG
rnacentral:rRNA from 1 species